rnacentral:lncRNA from 1 species
CAGAAUACCAGCAAGAGUAAAUUACAUACACGCGUAGAAAGCCGAGGCAGCUGAAGAUGGAAUUAAGCACGUUCUAUCUAUACUUUUGGUGAUGUCCUUUCACUUUUAUUUGUUUGAUUUCAACAACAUGUUAGGCUAAUUCACAUUCGUAUUUUUCAUAGAUAUAUAGGAAAAUCACGUGUAGGAUUAAAUUUAAUUGCUAUCGAGAGAAGCUUUUAAAUAAAACAUGAACAUUGACCGACAAGAAUGAUUUCUAAUUGUCAAUUUAAAUUGUUGAAUUACAAAUUGAGUAGCAGGGGGGAUUCCACAUCCUAGCAAUACUUCUCGCAAUUUUGAUAAACUUUUACUUUGUUUUCUAUUUAAUUGAUAGAUUUAAUAGUGUUAGUUACAACUCGACAUUGCUAUUCGAUUAAGGGAAUUAUUAGCUUUAACUCGAUCAAAUACAUAAUUCUCGUGGGUUCGACACUCUACAUACCACUUUAUUACUUGUUCACGAUUCCGUUCACUUGCGGGUAAUCAAUCAACCACUAACUUUAUUGGAGUAAAUGUUGGAGUGACUUUUGAAAUUGAGUAAAGACAAAAUAAGUGCAUGAGUUUUCCAACAUAUCCAAUUUCAAGCCGCGAGCACCUAUUGCUGAAAAUCACAAGCGAAAGCUUUGCGGCACCUCAUACAUUUUUUUUACUCUUGCAUGUUUUGGAUUCUCAUUUUAUUGGUAAGACACUAUUUGCAGUUCUAUAAUUCCAGUCUCCCUGGAAAUUUUGACAAUAAAAAUAUAUAAUUUAAUGAUUCGAAUACUUUCAGUUCAAGAACUUUGUUAUUGAAAAAAUGAUUUGAGGCAAACCACCUUGUUUAUCAACUGCACAGUUAGUGAAAGUGCAAGUCAAAGAAGUAAUUCCAAGUUUUCACAUUGCUUCAAUACAUGGAAAUUACUGAGAUACUGUCCAACGAGAUAAAUUGAAUUCUUACAAUUGUCAUUAUUGUCCUAAAGCAUAAAUCUCUUCAUAAGCCUUGCAUAGCCCUAGAAAAAGGGGUGGAGGAUUAUAAAUUUUGAAAAUCGUAAUGUUUCACCUAUAGCUUUAGCUUUAGGGAUCUCCUUCUACUCGCAGUUUAUGAUGCACAAUAAUGCAUUCUUCCAUGGCGGGCAUAGGGAUGGGAUAGGUGCGGUGUGGUUGGAAAAAGAUGGUGGUCGAUAAAGAUGAUGGAUCUAUUUUAUUUUUGUAUUUUUGUUCAUUUUUGUAUUUUCUUUAUUUAAUUGUUUUAACUCAAACUAAGCGUAAAUUGUUCGUUUUAUUCAAAAUUUACAUUUUAACGCAAGGCCGGCCCUGAGAAUUUAGAGGCCCUAGGCAUUUAAUUAUUACGGGGCCCUUCAACAUAAUAUUUAUUUUACAAGUGCAAUAAUAUGUAAAUAUUUAGAUAAUUAAUAAUUUUAUAUUAUAAAGAAAACUUUGUAAAAUUGAAAAGAUAGAACAGCAAAAUAAAACUUCUCUUAGAGAUUAUAAAUUAUUCAAAUCUCUCUACUGCUGAUUAAACUUUUACAUAAUGUAAUUCAUUAAAAUAUCAUAACAGACGAAACUUUUAACUUCAAGCCUCUCUGGAACUGAAUUGUUGAAGGGUUACAAGUUUGGCUUUUAGUAUAAUAAAUCUAACUCAUUUUGGAGUGAAUCUGGCUGAUUUUGAGCAUGUCCGGUUCUUAAGUUACUUUCACGGGAUCUAUUUUUCAGUUUUUUGCUGAUAAUUGGACCGAUUUUAAGUUUUCAAGUUGAACUAGCGGAUCAAGUCCAACUUCGAUAACACUAGUUCAAACAAGAGUUUACAAGGCAUAAUGAGACAUUUUCAUGAGUCAAAGAUCUUAAUAAUGUAAUUUUCCCUUUUAUCUAUGUACUCCUCAUCUAAGCAAAGACAAAUAUGGGAAUGUAAUAUUUGAUUCAGAGACCCAAAGUGACAAAAAAAAACGUCAUUCAUUUCAUUCUAUCAGGCAGCAAUAUGGAAAAACAUAAACAAGUUUGAAAUAGGCGAGGCCGUGGGUGCACAGUAAUAUGAAUACCUUGUUAAGGAAUAGUGUUAGGAGAAGGGGUUUAAGAGGAAGCGUUUCGUAUAAUUUCUAGCAGCAGAUGGAUAUCAGACUUCAAAUGAGCAACCGACAACGCCGUAACAGCCAUAAGAAGAAGACAAAGAGGCCGAACCUGUAGUUGGGUAAUCGGAUUUCUCGCUGGAAGUUUUGCUGGUGCACUAGUAGGUUUUACUUUUUAGGGAUUGGUAUUCUUUGUUUUCCUUUUCGAUUUGUGGUUUUGGAUUUGGCCAGUUUUAGCCUUCUUUUUUUUUUAGAGGCCCCAUCAAAAACUGGGGCCCAAGGCAGUGGCCUUGUUUGCCUUGGGCCAAGGCUGACUCUGUUUUAACAGUUGAUCAGGUAUUUUUUCGUACAAAAUGUAAAGCAGAAGUCUGAAAGGUUUGGUACUUUGGGUGUUAGAAAU